rnacentral:rRNA from 1 species
GAUGAACGCUGGCGGCGUGCUUAACACAUGCAAGUCGAACGGAAAGGCCCAAGCUUGCUUGGGUACUCGAGUGGCGAACGGGUGAGUAACACGUGGGUGAUCUGCCCUGCACUUCGGGAUAAGCCUGGGAAACUGGGUCUAAUACCGGAUAGGACGAUGGUUUGGAUGCCAUUGUGGAAAGUUUUUUCGGUGUGGGAUGGGCUCGCGGCCUAUCAGCUUGUUGGUGGGGUAAUGGCCUACCAAGGCGUCGACGGGUAGCCGGCCUGAGAGGGUGUACGGCCACAUUGGGACUGAGAUACGGCCCAGACUCCUACGGGAGGCAGCAGUGGGGAAUAUUGCACAAUGGGCGCAAGCCUGAUGCAGCGACGCCGCGUGGGGGAUGACGGCCUUCGGGUUGUAAACUCCUUUCGCUAGGGACGAAGCGUUUUUGUGACGGUACCUGGAGAAGAAGCACCGGCUAACUACGUGCCAGCAGCAGCCGCGG